GACGAACGCUGGCGGCGUGCUUAACACAUGCAAGUCGAACGAGAGGAGAAGGAAGCUUGCUUCUUUCAAAUCUAGUGGCAAACGGGUGAGUAACACGUAAACAACCUGCCUUCAGGAUGGGGACAACAGACGGAAACGACUGCUAAUACCGAAUACGUUCCUUAGGUCGCAUGACUUUAGGAAGAAAGGGUGGCCUCUACUUGUAAGCUAUCGCCUGAAGAGGGGUUUGCGUCUGAUUAGGUAGUUGGUGGGGUAACGGCCUACCAAGUCGACGAUCAGUAGCCGGACUGAGAGGUUGAACGGCCACAUUGGGACUGAGACACGGUCCAGACUCCUACGGGAGGCAGCAGUGGGGAAUCUUCCGCAAUGGCGAAAGCCUGACGGAGCAACGCCGCGUGAGUGAAGAAGGUCUUCGGAUCGUAAAGCUCUGUUGUCGGGGGACGAAUGUUGAGACCUAGAACAUAGGUUUCAAAUGACGGUACCUGACGAGGAAGCCACGGCUAACUACGUGCCAGCA
rnacentral:rRNA from 1 species